UCCACCUCCACGCCUCGUCAAUCUCACUCGCUUCUCGCGGUUGGAACCAUCCUCCCUCGUGCUGCCUGGAUUCGUUAACAUCGUCGGGCGUGAAAAGGCGGACCUGACGUGACAAGGGAGCUGCGCGUUCUGAGGAGCCUGUCUAGCUAAAUCCCACGUAACUUUAAGCUCUACGGACGCCUUGUUAUAAGGAUUCUGCAAACACUGAGGCAGGUGAGGAUUGGAAGCUGAUUGGAACUGAUUGGGAACGUUACCUGCGUGUGUGUUGGGAGGACGGGGCGUGGCGGCUCCUAUCUGUCUUAAAGGAACAGCGUCGUGCAAAUACCUGAGGAAAAACAGAAUAUGUAAAUUAGAAUAAAACAAAAAUGGAUG